GCAAGUCGAACGAGAAAGUACCUUCGUGUAUGAGUACAGUGGCGGACGGGUGAGUAACGCGUAGGAAUCUACCUUCAGGUGGGGGACAACUCGGGGAAACUCGAGCUAAUACCGCAUAAUGCCUAAGGGUCAAAGUGGGGGAUCUUCGGACCUCACGCCAGGAGAGGAGCCUGCGUUGGAUUAGCUAGUUGGUGAGGUAAAGGCCUACCAAGGCUACGAUCUAUAGCUGGUCUGAGAGGACGAUC
rnacentral:rRNA from 1 species